rnacentral:rRNA from 1 species
AUGUGUGAGACCUUGGAAGAGUUUCAUCAGUACAUGGACACAAGCAAGAGUCUUCGUGGUCCAGUGCACUUGUUUGAUGCGAUUAGGGAUGUGAAGCAUGAUUUGCGUCGUGGGGUUAAGAGCUAUGUGGAUGGAUCAUUUUCCAAUAUGCUAAAGAAGAUGCAGCAGAAGUUCAAGAAAUAUUGGAAACUCUGUUGCUUACAUUUAUGUAUGACUAUAGCCAUGGAUCCUUCAUACGGCCUGAAACACAUCAAGUCUAGGAGCGGUUACCUCUGUAAAAAUGAAAAAGAUGGCUAUAAAAAGGAUGUCCAUGAUACAUUGCUCAGUCUCUUCUAUGAAUAUUCUGGUCAGGUGGAAGACCCUAGCUGCACUUCUGGGUCCAAAACUAGCAAGGAAACUGUUAUCAUUGAAGAUGGUAUGAAUGAAGAUGAUGCGCCAUUUGCAUGCUGUGGCGAUUAUGGAGACAAAUGUAAUAAGGGGCGACCGAUGAUAGAACUUGACCAGUACUUGCAUGAGCCAAGCUACUGUAGAGGCCAGACGAGUGUUCUUCAGUGGUGGAAGGAACAUAACCUGACUUAUCCUACAAUUGCUCGGAUGGCACGCGAUAUAUUGGCUAUGCCAUACAGAUGCGAUUAUGAGGUAGCAACAACGACUGCCGGACUUGCAAUUUGUGAGUCAGGUCAUAAGCACUGGGUUGAGCAGCUUGUCUGUACUCAAGAUUGGCUCGGACCUAACCGUACGUUCUACUCUCUCGCUUUUCUCAUUGAUGUCCUGUCACGUUCUCGUAUUAACCAUACAUUGUGUAACCCUAGGUUCUGCAAGCAAGGUCUCAACCAGCGAUCUUUCGGACUGAGUACUUGGGCCUUCUUAAUCUUCCAUGAUCCUGUUUAUCUUUUUGGAAGGAGACGCCGGAUUCAAAGACGAGAAAUGUGUGAAGGGCGACAUUUGUUUAGACGGUUUUAG